GUGGGUAUAAUUCAAUCGGUAGAAUAACUGUAUGUGGAACAGUGCGUUCCCUGUUCAAGUCAGGGUAUUCACC
rnacentral:tRNA from 1 species